GCAGGAUUAGGUGAGCUGUGAUUGACCGCUGAUUUCACCUAUUAGGAAGGGGCAGUCCCUUUUUAAGAGCCGAUUGGCUGCUGCUCGGGAUGCGUCAUGUCCUGUUUUCCCCCUGUGUGUUUGCAGCGUUAGCGGCAGUGUGUCGUCUGUCGUGCUGGUGUACGUGAUGGUGUACCCUCAGUUGGCUAGUGGUUUUCCUGCUGUUGGUUAACAUGUGCCGUAAAACAGUAAAAUGUCUGGGGUGAUGCCACUUUUCGGAGUCUCCCUUUCGUUCUACGCGGCGUCUCCCGUUGUACCGGUCUUUUGAUUCUCGCGCUGCGAUGUUGCACCGCUGUUGCCGACGUCAUUAACUUCUCCGUGCCAUUGCACACUGGACUGUGUACUGUCUGGUUCUGUUGUGAGCCUAGCGUUUACUCUCCACGUGAGACGUUACCAUCUCAGGGCCGUGGUUCGCUCUCGGUGUGAGAAACGAGUCGCUUUCCAUUGGCUCUGCUUUUAAUGCAUCACUUACGUCUUUUUGUUUGUUAUCUUAUUUUUUGAGAUUAUCAAUUGUGUUUGUGAACCUGUUUGGGUUAUGAGCAAUGCUGUCAACAUUCUGUAUUGCCCAUUCUAGCUGGUUCUUGAGAACCUCGUUUUGUCCAUAAUUGUGACUGAUUCAUUGUUAAUUGGAUCUUUUAUAUUGUUUAUUAUUUCCCUUUGGUUUGGACUAGUAUAAUUCAUUUUUUUUUAUUGUUAUAACUUUAUUUCUUUUAUUGUUUGUGGUGGUCGUCAGCUUUGUGAAAUAAGGCUGGUCGCCACCAUUUUGUUUGUAUGACCCAAUUAUUCAUAUUGUUUUGAUUUGUUGCAGGAGCUGGGGUCCCACGGGUGGAUGGAUCUGUCCGGUGGUGGUACUUCCUCCUCAGUGUGUGCUGUGUAACACUUGAAGUGUGUGGUUGUGUAAUCUGAGUGCACCGUGGUGUGUGUGUGUGUGCCUUUUUGUAAACACCAGUCGUGAUUAAGUGAUUCUUCCCGCUGGGAACCUCAGCCCUGCUGGUUAUUAUAUGUUUGUUUUGUUUCCAUUUAACCUUAAUUUUGAGUGUGUGUGAUUGUGAUGCAUUUUGAAGUGGAGUGACUGAUGUAUGUUGGGAGUGCUCAUUUUAAAGGAUUCUGUCUAAAUAAAAUUUAUUUUUGUACUAUACCCAUGUCUCUUGCUCACUCUAUUUAAAGAGGAACGAACUUGUGUGCCUUUCCACCCUUUUGGGUGUAAGGAAUAUUUCCCUGGGUGUAAGUCCCGGGGUGGCGUAGUCGGAAUUUUAUGUAAAAUCUUUGCUUUCGUCAACAAGCUAAACUUUUCACCCCCUCGUCAUGCCACAUUCUGGCGUAGUCGGCAGGGUCCUCUGAUUUAGAGUGCAGAGACGUGGGUAUUGUGUUUUUUUUUGUUUUGUGUAUAUGUGGGUUUGUUUUUUUUGUAUCUCUUGCAGGAACCAGACAGAGGCAGUUUUCGUGUCGCGACCCCAGCACAAUUUGUUGCUGGGUUUGUGCUGUCCGAUCGUUUGUGGAGCUGGGGUCCCACGGGUGGAUGGAUCUGUCCGGUGGUGGUACUUCCUCCUCAGUGUGUGCUGUGUAACACUUGAAGUGUGUGGUUGUGUAAUCUGAGUGCACCGUGGUGUGUGUGUGUGUGCCUUUUUGUAAACACCAGUCGUGAUUAAGUGAUUCUUCCCGCUGGGAACCUCAGCCCUGCUGGUUAUUAUAUGUUUGUUUUGUUUCCAUUUAACCUUAAUUUUGUGUGUGUGUGUGUGUGUGUGUGUGUGUGUGAUUGUGAUGCAUUUUGAAGUGGAGUGACUGACGUAUGUUGGGAGUGCUCAUUUUAAAGGAUUCUGUCUAAAUAAAAUUUAUUUUUGUACUAUACCCAUGUCUCUUGCUCACUCUAUUUAAAGAGGAACGAACUUGUGUGCCUUUCCACCCUUUUGGGUGUAAGGAAUAUUUCCCUGGGUGUAAGUCCCGGGGUGGCGUAGUCGGAAUUUUAUGUAAAAUCUUUGCUUUCGUCAACAAGCUAA